rnacentral:tRNA from 1 species
UUAAUUGAAGCCAAAAUAGAGGCCUAUCACUGUUAAUGAUAAAAUUGAACAUCAGUUCCAAUUAAG